UACGGGGGGGGCAAGCGUUGUUCGAAUUACUGGGCGUAAAGGGCUCGUAGGUGGCCCACUAAGUCGGACGUGAAAUCCCUCGGCUUAACCGGGGAACUGCGUCCGAUACUGGUUGGCUUGAGUUUGGGAGAGGGAUGCGGAAUUCCAGGUGUAGCGGUGAAAUGCGUAGAUAUCUGGAGGAACACCGGUGGCGAAGGCGGCAUCCUGGACCGGCAUUGACGCUGAGGAGCGAAAGCCAGGGGAGCAAACGGG
rnacentral:rRNA from 1 species